rnacentral:lncRNA from 1 species
UUGCAUUGUCUGCCUAAAUACUUCAAAGUACUCAGCUAAAGCUGAACUUUUAUUUCUUUACCAGUAGUAGCAAUAGUCAUAGCUGUAGCCCUGGUGACAGAAAAGCAGUAAAAUGUGUGAAAGCCAAUACCUAAGCCUCUUAACCAGAGUAUUAAAUUGUUCUUUGCUAUGUGGACCUGAAGAAAGGAAAGGAGUAGAGACUGUGGUUGAUGGGUUUUUAUGGACUUUCUUGAAUCAUAGCACAUGUUAAUCCAAGACCUGAAGUUUUCAGGCAUCAAGAAAAGAGGAGAAAUAUCAUGUUUCUCCAUUAAUUCUUGCUGUUUAAUUAGCCAAGCUGUUUGGGUACAACCUCCAGAAGGAAAAAUAAUUGGGAUCAACAGACAGCAGUAAAGGCAACAAAAUUUUACAUUUUGGAUGGUCAGCACAUGGUGUGUUGCAUGAAAAUGUGAUUUUGGAAAUUGGUUUAAGAUCAGAAAACUGCCUAUGUUUGAGAAAUUAUGAGCUUUUUGGAGAAGGAAUUGUAUUAUUUGCUGCUGUGCUGAAGGUCUGGCCUCAGGAAAAGGGAAAGUUCCCUGACCUGCAUGGAGGGAGUGCCCACAGGCUAGUAUUGGGGACGUGGGAGUCCAUGUACAACAAUAGCAAUAAUUGCAAAGUGGUUCAGACAAAGUGA